GGAAUACUAAGUCAAAAAUGAAACUUCUAAUUUUAUUUUAAGCGGUUCAAUUCCGUUUGUGUUCCU
rnacentral:tRNA from 1 species